UGGGGAAUAUUGCACAAUGGGCGCAAGCCUGAUGCAGCCAUGCCGCGUGUAUGAAGAAGGCCUUCGGGUUGUAAAGUACUUUCAGCGGGGAGGAAGGUGUUGAGGUUAAUAACCUCAGCAAUUGACGUUACCCGCAGAAGAAGCACCGGCUAACUCCGUGCCAGCAGCCGCGGUAAUACGGAGGGGGCAAGCGUUAAUCGGAAUUACUGGGCGUAAAGCGCACGCAGGCGGUCUGUCAAGUCGGAUGUGAAAUCCCCGGGCUCAACCUGGGAACUGCAUUCGAAACUGGCAGGCUAGAGUCUUGUAGAGGGGGGUAGAAUUCCAGGUGUAGCGGUGAAAUGCGUAGAGAUCUGGAGGAAUACCGGUGGCGAAGGCGGCCCCCUGGACAAAGACUGACGCUCAGGUGCGAAAGCGUGGGGAGCAAACA
rnacentral:rRNA from 1 species